CCUACGGGAGGCAGCAGUGAGGAAUAUUGGUCAAUGGACGAGAGUCUGAACCAGCCAAGUAGCGUGAAGGAUGACUGCCCUAUGGGUUGUAAACUUCUUUUAUAUGGGAAUAAAAUGUUCCACGUGUGGGAUUUUGUAUGUACCAUCUGAAUAAGGAUCGGCUAACUCCGUGCCAGCAGCCGCGGUAAUACGGAGGAUCCGAGCGUUAGCCGGAUUUAUUGGGUUUAAAGGGAGCGUAGGUGGAUUGUUAAGUCAGUUGUGAAAGUUUGCGGCUCAACCGUAAAAUUGCAGUUGAAACUGGCAGUCUUGAGUACAGUAGAGGUGGGCGGAAUUCGUGGUGUAGCGGUGAAAUGCUUAGAUAUCACGAAGAACUCCGAUUGCGAAGGCAGUUCACUGGACUGCAACUGACACUGAGGCUCGAAAGUGUGGGUAUCAAACAGGAUUAGAUACCCUAGUAGUC
rnacentral:rRNA from 1 species